AUGGCUCAGGAUGAACGCUAGCGGCAGGCCUAAUACAUGCAAGUCGAACGGUUGUAGUGAUACAAUAGUGGCGCACGGGUGCGUAACACGUAUGCAACCUACCUUAUAGACGGGGAUAGCCUUUGGAAACGGAGAUUAAUACCCGAUAGUAACCUUGAUUGGCAUCAAUUAAUGUUUAAAGAUUUAUCGCUAUAAGCUGGGCAUGCGUCCAAUUAGUUAGUUGGUUAGGUAAUGGCUGACCAAGACGAUGAUUGGUAGGGGAACUGAGAGGUUAAUCCCCCACACUGGCACUGAGAUACGGGCCAGACUCCUACGGGAGGCAGCAGUAGGGAAUAUUGGGCAAUGGAGGCAACUCUGACCCAGCCAUGCCGCGUGCAGGAUGAAGGCGUUAUGCGUUGUAAACUGCUUUUAUAUAGGAAGAAAUAGACCUUGCGAGGUAAGUUGACGGUACUAUAUGAAUAAGCACCGGCUAACUCCGUGCCAGCAGCCGCGGUAAUACGGAGGGUGCAAGCGUUGUCCGGAUUUAUUGGGUUUAAAGGGUGCGUAGGCGGUUUAUUAAGUCAGUGGUGAAAGACGGUCGCUCAACGAUUGCAGUGCCAUUGAUACUGGUAGACUUGAGUGAGAUUGAGGUAGCUGGAAUGGAUAGUGUAGCGGUGAAAUGCAUAGAUAUUAUCCAGAACACCAAUUGCGUAGGCAAGUUACUAAGUCUCAACUGACGCUGAGGCACGAAAGUGUGGGUAUCAAACAGGAUUAGAUACCCUGGUAGUCCACACUGUAAACGAUGAUAACUAACUGUUGGCUUUCGGGUCAGUGGUACAGAGAAAUCGCUAAGUUAUCCACCUGGGGAGUACGCC
rnacentral:rRNA from 1 species